rnacentral:misc_RNA from 1 species
UUGUUGUCUCUCUUUCAUUUUGGCGCUUCGCUUCGCGUUUGCCUUUGCAGCGCUUGCCUUGUGCAGUGUGCGUACGCCGGACACCUCUCUCCUGGCCCCGCCCUCUUCUAGUGCUCUCGCUCCCUUCCUCUCUACACCGGAAGGGAGAAGGAGGUGUUGACGACUAUGCCCUGCGGGCGCAUCGGCGGUCGCAGACGGCUUUGUGGUAGGCACGCUGGCAUGCGGGCGCCUGAAAGGAGCUCGGUUGUCUCUUUUUCGGAAGCUCAAGCACAGCGAAGCGCGCGCAUCCAGGGUGUUAUGGAGGAUGAUUGAAUCAGAAAGCAAAAACACCAGUGCGCAACAACGGGCACUGCGCGGGGGCGGGUGUCGCAUGGCUGACCGCGUGUUUGUGUAUGCGUCGCCCAUGGCCCUCGCUCUUCCCCUCCCCACCCCACCCCCAGUUCCCUCUUUUGCUUUGCAUGGCUCCUCCGUGCGCAUGCCCAGGUGGGUCUGACGCGUGUUGCUUGACUCUUGCGUCUCUCUCCGAAACGUUAGAGGGAAAACGGUGUGUCGUUUCCUUUUUAUUGCUGGCGUUGUUCUUAUGGGAGUGUGAGCGUCGUGCUCGGUUGGAUGUGUUGCCUAAUGGUGUCCCUGAUUGUUCGGGCUACUGGGUUUUAGUAUCUCCAAGGGCUAUAACAAGAAUGAGCAGACAGCGAGAUGAUUGACAGACGCGUCGAGGAAGAGGAGGAGUGAGUGGGUGAGUCGAGGCACUCUCCGCGAUUCCAAAUGGCGCGCCUCAGCGCAUUUCUUCACCCACGGCCGCUCGUCUACUCAUUCUGCAUCUCGAAUCUAGCGGCUGUCAGCGUUGGAUUUGCCUCCCCGCCCCCUCCCUUGAUUAUCCGCCAUGGCAGGGCUUCUUCGGGCGAGAGAAAAAAAGAGGUGGGGUGCUGCGUACGCCUGCCUAAUCGUGCGCCGUGCCAUGGAGAACGCGACAGGAGGGAUACCAGAUUCGUGCAAUCUGCCACAGAAGUAGAAAACGCGCCAGUGAGGACGAGUUGGGAGGCACGUAUGGGCAUUCAUCACGCGUAUGCGCUGACAUCAUGUCUUCUUUUUGCCGUUGUUCGUGCGUGUUGUUGCUGGCUUGGUAGCGGCUACCUACUCCUGUUCUCCGACUUAUGUCCUGACUGACGUUGAGAGCGCAACCCUCCUUCUCCCCCCUCCCCCUCUAUCGCUUCGAUUUCGUAUGUUUCUUUCCCUGCUUCUGUGGUUGUGGUUUUUGACCCUUCUUUGGCAUGCACCGCGCUGCCUUGUAG